GACGAACGCUGGCGGCGUGCCUAAUACAUGCAAGUAGAACGCUGAAGGAGGAGCUUGCUUCUCCGGAUGAGUUGCGAACGGGUGAGUAACGCGUAGGUAACCUGCCUGGUAGCGGGGGAUAACUAUUGGAAACGAUAGCUAAUACCGCAUAAGAGUAGAUGUCGCAUGACAUUUGCUUAAAAGGUGCAACUGCACCACUACCAGAUGGACCUGCGUUGUAUUAGCUAGUUGGUGAGGUAACGGCUCACCAAGGCAACGAUACAUAGCCGACCUGAGAGGGUGAUCGGCAACACUGGGACUGAGACACGGCCCAGACUCCUACGGGAGGCAGCAGUAGGGAAUCUUCGGCAAUGGACGGAAGUCUGACCGAGCAACGCCGCGUGAGUGAAGAAGGUUUUCGGAUCGUAAAGCUCUGUUGUAAGAGAAGAACGAGUGUGAGAGUGGAAAGUUCACACUGUGACGGUAUCUUACCAGAAAGGGACGGCUAACUACGUG
rnacentral:rRNA from 1 species